rnacentral:rRNA from 1 species
UACGAAGGAUCCAAGCGUUAUCCGGAUUUAUUGGGUUUAAAGGGUGCGUAGGCGGACUAUUAAGUCAGUGGUGAAAGCCUGCAGCUUAACUGCAGAACUGCCAUUGAUACUGAUGGCCUUGAGUACAUUUGAGGUGGGCGGAAUGUGUCAUGUAGUGGUGAAAUACUUAGAUAUGACACAGAACUCCGAUUGCGAAGGCAGCUCACUAAACUGUAACUGACGCUGAGGCACGAAAGCGUGGGGAUCAAACAGG